GAGAUGGGAGAGGUGACAGAGAGAGGGAUGAGAGGAGAUGGGAGAGGUGACAGAGAGAGGGAUGAGAGAGGUGACAGAGAGAGGGAUGAGAGAGGUGACAGAGAGAGGGAUGAGAGGAGAUGGGAGAGGUGACAGAGAGAGAGAUGAGAGGAGAUGGGAGAGGUGACAGAGAUGGUGAUGAGAGGAGAUGGGAGAGGUGACAGAGAGAGGGAUGAGAGGAGAUGGGAGAGGUGACAGAGAGAGGGAUGAGAGGAGAUGGGAGAGGUGACAGAGAGAGGGAUGAGAGGAGAUGAGAGAGGUGACAGAGAGAGAGAUGAGAGGAGAUGGGAGAGGUGACAGAGAGAAGGAUGAGAGGAGAUGAGAGAGGUGACAGAGAGAGGGAUGAGAGGAGAUGAGAGAGGUGACAGAGAGAGGGAUGAGAGGAGAUGGGAGAGGUGACAGAGAGAGGGAUGAGAGGAGAUGGGAGAGGUGACAGAGAUGGUGAUGAGAGGAGAUGGGAGAGGUGACAGAGAUGGUGAUGAGAGGAGAUGGGAGAGGUGACGGUGAUGAGAGGAGAUGAGAGAGGUGACAGAGAGAGGGAUGAGAGGAGAUGGGAGAGGUGACAGAGAGGGAU
ensembl:lncRNA